AUUGCGGACGGAGUGAGGAUGGGCCCUUCCUCCCCCGCGCUCGCCCCUACGGCGACCGAGCUCCAAAGCAGCGCCACCGCCAGAUCCGCCCGCCUCCGGCCGUCCCCGGCUCCUGCCGGCUGCACCAAGUCAGAUCCAACCCCGCCCCCCCCUCCAGCACCACCAGCUCGCCCUCCUGUGUCCCAGCUCCCACCGCCACCGCCCUCACAUCUACCGCCGGCCCGCCCUUCUGAUCCAACUGCAUGCCGUGCGCCGGCGGCCCCCUACCAAACCAAGCGGGUGAGGUUUGCAUUCACUGCAAGCACCACGCCGCCCCGCAUUCACUACCCCUCCGCCGUAUCCCGCAGCCACAGUGCCACCCCCGCCCCGACAGCUGGUUCGAAGCCCCCGUCUGGAAGCUGCGACCGCAUUGAAGAUGAGGAUCUUGAAGGAUGGACGACGAUUCGGCGCAGGCGUGGACGCGCCGCCCGCGCAGGCCUAGGCUGCGCCCCAGCGGCGCCUCGCCUUCUCUCAGCCCAUGCCCCUAGCCGUCUGAUGUUUGGAUGAUUUCUCACUUUGCUAGCUGCGGUGGACAGGUGGUAAAGUGAACCAGGUAGUAAUCCCAUCACAUGGCUAUUUGAAAGGUGUGAGAGACUUUUGUUCUAAACACAACGUUUUGAUGAUUGCUGAUGAGAUCCAAAUUGGCGUAGCUAGAACUGGUAAAAUGCUGGCAUGUGAUUGGGAAAACAAACAGCUGACAUGGUGGUUUCUUUUCUGCUACACUCUUGUUUAUUAACUAUACUCAUUACAUUCUGUGUUGGAGUUAUUCCAGUCAGUGCAGUUCUUGCAGACAAGGAUGUCAUGCUGUGUAUCAGACCAUGGGAACAUGGUAGUAUGACCAAAUCUCUAUACUUUUCUCUGCUCUCUUUUCUUCUUUCCAACUUUUCUCCGCUUCAAGGUUUUCCAAUCAAGGAAAAAAAAUGCUUACGUGCUGACGUCAAAACUUAGAAUUAGGGGCAUGUUGAUGUUCAAAUUGAAGCAUCAAAGAACCAUAUAGUGCCGCCGGCCAACAGCAGCAUCAAAGAACAAUAUUGAUUGUCUUGCAAAGUGCCGCCGGCCAACAGCAGCAUCCAAGAUUCUCUUCUUCUUUUUUUUUGUGAGAGGGCCUCUAGCCGAGUUAGUUAGGUGGUCUGACAUUCUUCGGGUUCUGGGUUCGACUUGUUGUGGAAGCGAAUUUUAGCUGUGGUUAAAAAAUCACCUCAACUGUCUCACGCCAAAUCCUAUGUGAGGAAAUCUUUUCUUAAUAUAAUACUCGGGGCUAUCUUAUCUCGUAGAUCGAUUUUUUUAAUUUCUUUUUCUCAAUAUAUUCCUUUUUUUUGUCUCCACGGAGUGAACUAAUUUAGAUAAAGUUUGUGUUAAAUCACUAACAUGUUGUUUUUACUGUAUUUACCCCAUCUUUGAUGUUCGCCAGCCUCGUGAAGACAGACACCCUCGCAGACGUCAUUUCUUUAUGAAUAGUAAGAUGCAUGCAUCAUCAUGUAUGAUUUAAUCACAGCCUCAAGGAAGGACUGAACGGUCACAGAAAGUACCCUCAGUCCAUAAAUAUAUGACACGUUGACUUUUUAAAAAAACUUUGACCACUCGUCUCAUUUAAAAAAGAAUGAGUUAUUAUUUAUUUUUAUGAUUUAUUUUAUCACUUAAGGUUGUUUGUGUUUGACUUAAAAUUUUAUAUUUUAAAUAAAUAUUUUGAAUAAGGGAGUGACUAAAGUUUUUUUAAAAAAAGUCAACGGUGUCAUAUAUUUGUGAAUGAAGUUAGUACUGGUUUGUAGAUGUUUAAGUGCCAUAUGAACUUUUGAACACAACACACAUCUUAUUAGGUUUUUAUGACAGUUAAACCCUGUUUGGUUAGAGGGACUAAUCUUUAGUCCCUAAUUUUUAGUCCCUAUUUUGCCAAACGAAGGACUGAAUUAGGGACUAAUUAGCUUUAGUCUUUAUGCUCUCACAUGGGUGCUAAAAGGGACCAAAUGACAAUAUUUACUCCAAUUAUCCUUGCCUUGCCUAGAAAGCUAACGUCAUACACAAUAAACAAGAAAAUAGAUAUUUUAGUCUUUAUGUGUUGUAUUUAAUGUAUUUAGAAUCUUUUUUACAACCAAACAAGAUAGUGACUAAACUUUAGUCUAUGACUAAUGGAGCCAAACGGGGCCUUAAUAUAGCGAUCUCAUUCAUGAUUCGUGGCACUCUGGGUUGGACAGCUUGCAACAUCUUGAAGCCACUGUAGCCCUUUAGGUCCUUGGUCAUGGCCUUAUGCUCAGCAGGUUCAGUUUCAUCGGUGGACGUUCAUGUUCCGUUCCUCUUUCAAUCUUCAUACAUAUCAACGUCGAGUUGAUGCAGAACACAAAUCGGUAAAGGCCUCUACUGACGAAUGCAGGAAACCUUGGAAACCUGCUACUGAUCAUUGUCCCGGCUGUAUGCGUUGAAAGAAGGGAACCCGUUUGGGAACGAUCCCAAGCAUUUGCUGCUCAUGCAGUCUCCUACUCGUCCUUGUCCAUGGGCCAUGGCUGAUGGCUGUAGUGUAGGUUCUGCUCUCUUUUAGUUCCAAAAAGGGGCAACCUGUCUUGUUUAUUCAAAGAUGUUGUUGUGUCAAAGGUUUAGAUUACUGAGGGGGUUAAUUAUUAGGGAUCCGCUGUGUGGAGAUAAGAUUUCAGGGAAAUAUUUUUAGUGGAGCCCCUGUACAUAGUUUUUGAGGAAAAAAAUCCUUGAAAGACUUUUGGGCACGGAUCUUAAAACCUUUUUUAGACUACAUCUUUGAACAUCAUUGUUGCACACAGAGUGCAAAUAACUCCAGCUUCAUGUUGUAUCAAAAUUAAAUAGACAUAAUAUGUAAUGGUCUACUAGUUAUAUGUCCGUGCAUUGCUUCGUUUAUAUAUAUAUAUAUAGUUUAUCUAUUAAGAGCCCUGGGCUCUAUAUAACUGUAGAGAGCCCCAGCCCACGUCCGAUCACUUUUUACGCAAGCGAACAGAUUUAGCGUAAACGGAAACCCAUUUUAGCGUAAACAGAGUAACAACCGCGAGCCCUACAUGUUUACGUUAUUCCAUUCUUCCGUUUAUACAUAAUAGUGAUUUAGCAUAACUACUUCAGCCGACCCACGUUCCAGAAAUAAAGGAAUGGGCCCACUACCCCACUUCCCACGCGGUCAAACACUUCUAUACCCUAACCCCCGCGCGGUCAACCAUCCUGGCCGACUCGCCGCGUUUCUUCAGCGGUCGCCUGGGCGAUUCUUGUUCAUCCGCCGCCGCCAGCCCGUUUCGCCGUCCUCCACCGCCGCACGCCCUCAACAUUAAUCGUCGCCGCCGUUGACAUCAUCGUCGAGCCGCUGCCGUUGUCAAUCUUGCGCGCCCCGCGUCACAUUGGCUCACGUCCGCGGUCGCUAUGUCGUCCGGAUUCCAAGUGUGAAUCGCCUUCAUUUGUCUCCGCGCGAACUCAACCCUAAUCGGCGCCGCCGUUGACAGUGUCGUCGAGCCGGCCGCUGCUGUCAAUCCUCCGCCACCGCGUCCUAUAGGCUGCUGUUUCAAUAAUGCGGAAGGUUGAUCGACCCCCAACCAAUUCGAAGUGUUUAAUCAUUGAGUCAAGUCAAGAAUGUUUCAGUGUUGACAUUCCAUGCUCGACUGACAUGGCAGACCCUACAAAUACGCCUUCUGAUGGUGAUCCUCCGCAGCAUAGAAAGACAAGUGUUGCAGCUGCUGCUAAAAACAUUGCUAUGCCUAAUGUGGAUGAUGAUGAUGACUUUGAGCCACCCAAAAAGAAGUGCAAUAUCUCAAUGGAUGCCCCAAAUAAGACGCAGAAGCUAGACCCCAGGGACAUGACUCUUCGUAUUGGUCCAGACAAAGAACUCAAAAUCACCAAGCAGACUGUCCAUCAGAUAUUGGGUCUUCCAAAUUUGGGUGGUGGAAAGCCCCUUAAUAUUAAUGAAGCGAACGCUGCGGCAACACUUCGGGCCUCAUUGAAUAUUACCAAGGAUGAGUUUGUUAUUUCAAAGCUCCAAGAUAGACUGAGGCUAGGCCAGGAUGAUGAUCUUUCUAUCAGAUGUUUUUUUCUCAUUCUCUUCAACCGGCUGCUAUUCCCAACAGCUAGCUGGUCUAUUUCUUUCAAUGAGGUUGUACUUACAGAAGAAAUGGAGCGAUUCCCUCAAAUUGAUUGGUGCCAUCUAAUUUUUAGUGACUUAUGUGAGGCUGCCCAGAGAUGGCACAACAGGAGCAUUAACAAUGUGUCGGCGACGAUAUAUGGCUGUUCCAUCAUUGUUCUUCUGUAUUAUUUGGAUCAUUUGCAUCAUGCUGCUGCUCCAAACAACAAAAAUGGCACUCCACGCAUAAAGUAUUUUAAUAAGAAUAUUAUAAGGGCGUUGUCAAUGGCCGAUAAGCGGAAGCCUCGCCAGGGUGGUGAACCAUUUGGUGUUUGCCCUUUUCGUAGCAGCAGUGAGACAUGUUACGUCUCAAAAUCGCCAACUACUUGCCAGAUUGAGUUUCCUAUGAGGCCAGAAACUUUUGAUGAAGACCCAAAUCAACAUGAUCGACUUCCCAAUAUAAUCAUCCAACUCCCUCUUAUGCAAGACUUGAUGGCAAAUAAGAUUCAGAUGCUUCCUGUACAUCAACGCCAGAAGUUCCAAGCUACGUUGAUUGAUUAUGACUUAGAGGUUGGCAAAAUAUUUGCCUCUAUCAAGCAAUGUUUGAAUACUAUUGGUACAAAGCAGUCCAAUCUAGCCGCUACAUUUGGAGAAUUGAUUGAUGAGGUUCUUCGGGCCGAUGAAUCUGUUACACCAAAUACUACAGUGGUAGGUGGCACAGUUGAAAAUGAUUCUGGACCAGUAUUUGACAAGACUCCUAUUGGGAGUGUUUCUGCACCAGGUCUCUUCUUAUCUGAAUUAGAAUGUGCUCGCGCUCUUCGGGCAUACUUGUGUUCUAGGUUCAUUGAAUUGGACAGAAAUAUAAUUGACUUUGGUGAACAUCGCGCCAAUUGUUGUGACAUACAACAAUCUUUUGCUGAUGGCGCAUGUCUCGACAACGUGUUUAUGCAAUGUGUCAUUGAGUGUGUCCGCGAUGACUGGUCUAAACAUAUUCCUCCACUCAAUGCUCACCAGCUCAUUCUAGAUGUUAAUGUUGGGGCUAUAUUGAACUUUGAGGAGCAGGAGCAACAUAGUAAGUCUCCUCGUCCAUUUGACCCUUCAGUUUUGGAGAGUUACCUAUUGAAGACACUGCCUUCUUUCAAGCAGCUGGAUGACUACAAAUCAAUAAUGGUACCCAUGCUACGAUCUGGACAUUGGACAUUGUAUGUUGUUAAUCUUCAGAUUGGACGCAUACAUGUGUUAGAUUCCAACCCUUAUGGACCAGAGAUGGGUGGGACUAUCUGGAAAAAUUACCAUUGUAUACCUAUGGAUUUGGGUGAUAGGAAGGUUUCAUGGGCCAUGUUAAUGAUGAGUAGGCUCAAUCUAGCUAUUCAAAAUGCUCGACCAAGAUCAGCUCUCCCUGCUUUUUUGAAGUACCCUAUUGAACUCAUGAAUAACUGCCCAACAAUGAAAUUGGGGUCUAAUGAUUGUGGAUUCUUUGUCAUGAGAUAUAUGCAGAACUACGACUACAUGGUUGGAGCUAUGAAUGCAGUCAUUGAUCCGGAUAAUUCAGAGGACAUUCGCUCUCUUGUACUGCAUUACCUAAUAUUCCAUCGACUAAAUAGAAACAGCUUCGUGGUCUCCCAUCUGGACAGAUUCAAGUUCUCUCAGUAGUAGCCUAGUAUAGUUUACUAUCUUAAUAUUAGUAUGAACAUCAUGGUCUGAUGGCUUUUGGUGGCUUCAAGUUAUCUCAGUUCUAGCUUAGUUUAGGGUAGUGUCACUGAAUGGUGUUCAUGUACAUAUUGGUAUGUUGGCUUAUGUUAGGAUUCAGAUAAUACUUAUGUCCAUAUGCAGCUCUUAGCAAACUCUUAUAUAUAUCAUACCAGAUAUGUUUUAGAUGGUUAUAUUUAUAUAUGAUAGUUCUGCACUUUAUCAUU